rnacentral:tRNA from 1 species
GUCAGGAUGGCCGAGUGGUCUAAGGCGCCAGACUCAAGGAUAUCAAUCCUUCCUGCGCAAAGGGUCUUCUGGUCUCCGUAUGGAGGCGUGGGUUCGAAUCCCACUUCUGACA